rnacentral:lncRNA from 1 species
ACCUCCAAGUGUAAGUGGGGCUCUCCAGCACACCUGGAUGUGGAGGUGUGAUGCAGAGUGGUGGCUGCUCGUGACACUCAUUUCACCCCUUUCUGUGCAGGUGCCAGAAGCCCAGGAAGCACACAUCAAGGCUCGCUUGCCAGCGGGGUGCUGCCAAUAAAAUGUAGUCACGUGGAAUUUGGGAUGUGGAAAGGAGGUAGAAGUCAUCCUUUCCUCCCCCAUAGCAGCAGGUGUGCAGGCUCUGGUGGUCAGCUGGACUCCAUACUCCCCCACCAGUCACCAGCCUGGGGACCGUGGGGCUGCAAGGACCUCAGCAGCAGUUUCCCAAGUUUCCUGACUUCUUCCAUCCUCUGGAAAUCAGCUGUGAGCUAUCAGCUUCCCAGUUUGCACAAUUCAUCAAGAAAUUAUGCGGGGUCACUGGCACAAAUGAUGAGGCAUCUCCUGGAAGCUUAACUUCUUAUCCAUCCCAUCUCUUGGACAGAUGAUGCCAGUUAAUUACUUUGAAUGCUCUGCUGCUAUGGUGAGCUGCACGUCUGGAGGCUUCACAGAGACACUGGGUGAAGCUAAAUGAUGAGUUUGAU